rnacentral:lncRNA from 1 species
UUUAUGCCCUUGUGUCUGUGCAUGUAUUCCACGUGUAUUCAAGGGUCUAUAGAAGCCAUUGUUUCCUCUGGAGGUGGACUUUGAGUCAGUUCUGAGCUGCCUAAGGUGUGUCAGCUGGAACCGAGGAUACUUUUCAGUGCCAAGCUGUCUCUCCAGCCUUGGGUCACUCUGCUGAGGCAACACAGUUCCAUUAUCCAAAAUUUGGGAAAGAUUUUGUACAAAGACCCAAGAUUUCCUGAUAGACCAGAAACUGAACACCCUGCUCCUGGCCCAGACAGCUUGACAGUUGAUGUCCCUAAGAUUUAUGAAGAAAUGCAAGUAUUUAAUGACUGUAUCAGGCUAAGCAAUGCCGCUCGGGAGUCUUAGAUCUGCUUACGAGCCUGCGCUUUGUCUCAGACUAAAAUCACCUACGCAGAUUCCAUUUGACCUGAGAGAACACUGGACUUGGAAUUCGAAAAUUG